CCUACGGGAGGCAGCAGUGAGGAAUAUUUGUCAAUGGGCGCGAGCCUGAACCAGCCAAGUAGCGUGAAGGAUGACUGCCCUACGGGUUGUAAACUUCUUUUAUCAAGGAAUAACGUGAGGCCCGUGUGCCUUUUUGUAUGUACUUUAUGAAUAAGUCUCGGCUAACUCCGUGCCAGCAGCCGCGGUAAUACGGAGGAUCCGAGCGUUAUUCGGAUUUAUUGGGUUUAAAGGGAGCGUAGAUGGGUUGUUAAGUCAGUUGUGAAAGUUUGCGGCUCAACCGUAAAAUUGCAAUUGAUACUGGCAGCCUUGAGUACAGUUGAGGUAGGCGGAAUUCGUGGUGUAGCGGUGAAAUGAUUAGAUAUAACGAAGAACACCGAUGGCGAAGGCAGCCUACUAAACUGCCACUGACAUUGAUGCGCGAAAGUGUGGGUAUCAAACAGGAUUAGAUACCCCAGUAGUC
rnacentral:rRNA from 1 species